CAGUAGCCGCGGGAAUACGUAGGUGGCAAGCGUUGUCCGGAAUUAUUGGGCGUAAAGGGCUCGCAGGCGGUUUCUUAAGUCUGAUGUGAAAGCCCCCGGCUCAACCGGGGAGGGUCAUUGGAAACUGGGAAACUUGAGUGCAGAAGAGGAGAGUGGAAUUCCACGUGUAGCGGUGAAAUGCGUAGAGAUGUGGAGGAACACCAGUGGCGAAGGCGACUCUCUGGUCUGUAACUGACGCUGAGGAGCGAGAGCGUGGGGAGCGAACAGGAUUAGAUACCCCGGUAGUCCCUGUCUCUUAUAC
rnacentral:rRNA from 1 species